CUUCCUGUAGGGGUGACAUGCGGAAGGAUCAUUGUCGAA
rnacentral:rRNA from 1 species